AAAGGCGAAAAGAACCCCGGCGAGGGGAGUGAAAAAGAACCUGAAACCGUGUACGUACAAGCAGUGGGAGCCUCUUAAUGGGGUGACUGCGUACCUUUUGUAUAAUGGGUCAGCGACUUAUAUUCUGUAGCAAGGUUAACCGAAUAGGGGAGCCGAAGGGAAACCGAGUCUUAACUGGGCGUUAAGUUGCAGGGUAUAGACCCGAAACCCGGUGAUCUAGCCAUGGGCAGGUUGAAGGUUGGGUAACACUAACUGGAGGACCGAACCGACUAAUGUUGAAAAAUUAGCGGAUGACUUGUGGCUGGGGGUGAAAGGCCAAUCAAACCGGGAGAUAGCUGGUUCUCCCCGAAAGCUAUUUAGGUAGCGCCUCGUGAAUUCAUCUCCGGGGGUAGAGCACUGUUUCGGCAAGGGGGUCAUCCCGACUUACCAACCCGAUGCAAACUGCGAAUACCGGAGAAUGUUAUCACGGGAGACACACGGCGGGUGCUAACGUCCGUCGUGAAGAGGGAAACAACCCAGACCGCCAGCUAAGGUCCCAAAGUCAUGGUUAAGUGGGAAACGAUGUGGGAAGGCCCAGACAGCCAGGAUGUUGGCUUAGAAGCAGCCAUCAUUUAAAGAAAGCGUAAUAGCUCACUGGUCGAGUCGGCCUGCGCGGAAGAUGUAACGGGGCUAAACCAUG
rnacentral:rRNA from 1 species